ensembl:snRNA U6 U6 spliceosomal RNA
GUGCUUGCUUCGGCAGCACAUAUACUAAAAUUGGAACGAUACAGGGAAGAUUAGCAUGGCCCUUGUGAAGGGUGACACGCAAAUUCAUGAAGCAUUCCAUAUUUUA